rnacentral:lncRNA from 1 species
CUUUCUUACAAAACCAUAGCACCAUUAUAUUCUUUGAAGAACAAAUAAGAUUUUUAAUGAGAUUGACCACCAUGCGAUUAUUAAAUGCAGACAAUUUACCACUGAAAUAAUAUUAUCUAAGGCAUGGUUCCUACUAGGAUUUUUCCAAUUGUCCCCAUAACGUUCUUCACAGCAUUUUCUUUCAAAAUAAGAUCAAUCGUUGCAUUUAGCAUCGCGUCUUUUCAAGCUUCCUUUAUUCUGGAUGGUUCUUCCGUUCUUUCCUUGUCUCCGUGACGCUAGCCUUUUGAAGAGGACGGUUGAGUUUCUCCGCAGGCUGCUCCCUGAUUUGUGUCUGUCGCCGUUUCCUUGUGAUUGGGUUUUCGCGGGGCUGACACGGAACUGAAGCUGUGUCCUUCCGGGUGCGUGUCAUCAGGAGGCACGGGAUGUCCCUGGGUCCCAAUCUUGGCGAUGCUGACUUUGCUUGGUUAGGAUGGUGUUCUCUUUUUCCCUUUGGAAGAUAAUGUCAUCUGUAGAAAGAUACCUUUGAGACAAUGUCAAUAACCUGUUCCUUAUUAGAUUUUCACCCAACAGUUUUCUCAUCCACCCAUGAGUCUGAUACUGGCCUAAAUCACCUAUUACUCUCAUGGCUGCACAAUUAGUUUUCUAAGCCUGUCAUUCCACCUACCUUCGUUAGCUGGUACUCCACCUCGAGAGCUCUCUCUUCCCCACUAUUUAUGUAUCUCUCCGUCUACUAGUUCAUUAUCAGUGUGGACUCAUGGAUUCCUGUUUUGGUCAUUGGAUUAUAAUCCAUUAUGGGCGUUGUACGUCACAAUGCUCAAAUUCCCAGCCCUGUCCAAUGGGAGCCCUUCAUGGCUCCUGUCUUCUGAUGUGUCCCUAGACUGGGGUUCUUCAUGUCUCAUAUAUUAAUGAUCUUCAGGGAGCAUACGAGCUGCUUGAAGUCAUAUCCAAAAGAUUGCACAUCUCCGUGCUUUGUUGGGGGGCGGGGGGGUGAAAGUUCAAUGGCUUCCAUCGGAUUCUCAAAAGUACUGUGGUCUCCCAAAAAAGACAGAGAUUCUACAUCAGAGACUUGGGUGAACCUGUCCAUCUUAUCCCAGCCACCUCUGAGUCGCAGAUGAGGACAAAUCCUGCAUACGACAGAGGUGGUGGCAUGGCUUAAUCCUCCCAGUAUUCGGGCCUUCCUUCCUCAGCUUCACAUAAAACCGACAAGUUGCAGAAUGUGGCUCUGUCGGGUCCCAGGGGAGGUUUCCCUCUGGGGGACAAGGAAUGUGAGGUCCUGACGGCCCUCACCCCUCUGGGGCCAGCCUGUUUUCAAGGCUUGAGUGUGUCUAGGAAGCGUGCUAUGACGUUCAGACACAGCACACGAGGACUUGCAAGGGGACCCUUG